rnacentral:rRNA from 1 species
AAAAGUCGUAACAAGGUUUCCGUAGGUGAACCUGCGGAAGGAUCAUUAUAGAAUAAAUCUGACAAGGUUGUAGCUGGCUCUCAGGAGUAUGUGCACACCUUGUCACCUUUAUCUCUCUCCCCUGUGCACCCAUUGUAGAUCUGGAUAACUCUCGCUGAAAAGCGGAUGCAGAGAUUGCUGCUGUCUCCUAACCUGAGGCCAGCUUUCUUUGAAUUUCCAGGUCUACGAUUCUAUAUACCCCAAACGAAUGUCUUUGAAUGUUUUUGUAUGGCCUUGUGCCUAUAAAUCAAUACAACUUUCAGCAACGGAUCUCUUGGCUCUCGCAUCGAUGAAGAACGCAGCGAAAUGCGAUAAGUAAUGUGAAUUGCAGAAUUCAGUGAAUCAUCGAAUCUUUGAACGCACCUUGCGCUCCUUGGUAAUCCGAGGAGCAUGCCUGUUUGAGUGUCAUUAAAUUCUCAACCUUACCAGCUUGUAAUAGAGCUGUUGUUAAGGCUUGGAUAUUGGGGGCUUGCAGGUCCAAUUCUAUUGGUCUGCUCCUCUGAAAUAAAUUAGCAGGUCAGGCUCCUGUCUAUUGGUGUGAUAAUUAUCUACACCGUGGAUGCGAUGCAACUAUUGAUCAGCUUCCAAUCGUCCAUCUGGACAACUCUGACAAUUUUGACCUCAAAUCAGGUAAGACUACCCGCUGAACUUAAG